AUACUUACCCGGUGGGGGAGACACCAUGAUCAUGAAGGUGGUUUUCCCAGGGUGAGGCUUAACCACUGUACUCUGGAUGUGCUGACCCCUGCAAUUUCCCCAAAUGUGGGAAACUCAGCUGUACAAUGUGUGAUAGUGGGGAACUGUGUUCACACUCUCCCCUG